AGGGUAGUAGUUCAGUUGGUAGAAUGCUGCAUUUGGGAUGCAGUGGUCGUCGGUUCAAGUCCGGUAUACCCUA
rnacentral:tRNA from 1 species